rnacentral:rRNA from 1 species
UAGACGUGAGGCGUGCGUGAGUUUCGGCCUCGCUGUUUGCAUGUUUGUGCGCUUUGGGUGUACUUUUUCGUAUGGUUGGCCAACAUCAGUUUCGAUUACUAUAAAAUGACUGGCGGAAUGUAGCUUCGAUUUCGGUUGAAGUGUUAUAGCCUCUGGUAGAUGUGGUGAUUGAGACUGAGGAUUGCAACGAAUAUCCUUUGGGCUAUCCGUCUGGCCUCUGAAAGUUGCUUGGGUGCUGAAAGCUUGCUUAUGGUUAUCUAAGUUAACGGUCAAUAGGUUAGAACGUGAUUACAUUCGUUAAGGAUGUUGACGUAA